rnacentral:rRNA from 1 species
GUCUAUAUACGUAUAGCAUAUCAAUAAGCGGAGGAAAAGAAACUAACAAGGAUUCCCCUAGUAACGGCGAGUGAAGCGGGAAGAGCUCAAAUUUGAAAUCUUAAAGGGUUUCCCUUUACGAAUUGUAGUUUAAAGAAGUGUUUUCUGUUGGAGUUUCGGUAAAAGUUCUUUGGAUAGGACAUCAUAGAGGGUGAGAAUCCCGUAUUUGACCGUUACUUUCCAGCUGUGUGAUACACUUUCAAAGAGUCGGAUUGUUUGGGAAUGCAGUCCAAAAUGGGUGGUAAAUUUCAUCUAAAGCUAAAUAUUGGCGAGAGACCGAUAGCGAACAAGUACCGUGAGGGAAAGAUGAAAAGAACUUUGAAAAGAGAGUUAAACAGUACGUGAAAUUGUCAAAAGGGAAGCGUUUGACACCAGUGUUGUUUUCUCGAAAAUCAAUUAAAAAUGGUGGGAUUUUGUGUUGUAUUGACUUUAUCAGCUUUUCUGCACUUUUUUCCUAUCUUUUUUAAUGCACUUUUCGUUUAACAAGUCAACAUCAAUUUCUUUUGUUGUAAAAGAGUCAUUGGAAGGUGGCUUUCUUUUCGGAGAAAGUGUUUAUAGCCUUUGACUUCCUGCAAUCGGAGAGACUUGAGGUCUGCAGCGUAGAUCCUUCGGGGUUAGAUACAUUUGUGCUAAGUUAUAGCCUUUCAUAGACAACUUGUUGACUAUGAUCAGUCAUGUAGCUUACUCGCUUAUGCUAUUUUACCUACGCUUAGGAUGUUGAUCUGUAGUGCGUGCGC